rnacentral:rRNA from 1 species
AACGAACGCUGGCGGCGUGGAUAAGACAUGCAAGUCGAACGCUAAUUAGGAGGUAGCAAUAUUUUCUAGUUGGAGUGGCGCAAGGGUGCGUAACACGUGGGUAAUCUGCCGUGAAGACUGGGAUAACUCGCUGAAAGGCGAGCUAAUACCGGGUAAGACUGUCAGGGGGCAUCUUCUGACAUUGAGAGCUGGGGACUGUAACAGGCCUGGCACUUCACGANGAGCCCGCGGCCUAUCAGCUAGUUGGUGAGGUAACGGCUCACCAAGGCUAAGACGGGUAGCUGGUCUGAGAGGACGACCAGCCACACUGGAACUGAGACACGGUCCAGACACCUACGGGUGGCAGCAGUCGAGAAUUUUUCACAAUGGGCGCAAGCCUGAUGGAGCGACGCCGCGUGGGGAUGAAGGGUUUCGAUCCGUAAACCCCUGUCAUUUGCGAACAAACCUUAUUACAAUAACACUG